rnacentral:snoRNA from 1 species
AUAUCAUGAUGAGGGCAACGUCUAAGAAGAUCCUUGUAUCUCUCCCAAGCUUCGUACAAUGAUUUUGCAUCUAGCUGCAUGAACGAUAUGAUAUCAGUUCUCAUCUU